UGGGGGAUAUUGCACAAUGGGCGAAAGCCUGAUGCAGCGACGCCGCGUGGGGGAUGAAGGCCUUCGGGUUGUAAACUUCUUUUGCUCUGAACAAGGCGCACCAUGGGGUGUGUUGAGUGUAGGGGUUGAUUAGCGCCGGCUAACUACGUGCCAGCAGCCGCGGUAAUACGUAGGGCGCGAGCGUUGUCCGGAAUUAUUGGACGUAAAGGGCUUGUAGGUGGCUGGUUGCGUCUGUCGUGAAAGCUCAUGGCUUAACUGUGGGUUUGCGGUGGGUACGGGCUGGCUUGAGUGCAGUAGGGGAGGCUGGAAUUCCUGGUGUAGCGGUGGAAUGCGCAGAUAUCAGGAGGAAUACCGGUGGCGAAGGCGGGUCUCUGGGCUGUUACUGACACUGAGGAGCGAAAGCAUGGGGAGCGAACAGG
rnacentral:rRNA from 1 species